UCUCCUAUAGCUCAGUUGGUAGAGCGUGCGGCUGUUAACCUCAAAGUCGCUGGUUCAAACCCAGCUGGGAAAG
rnacentral:tRNA from 2 species